GUCCCAGUUCGGAUUGUAGUCUGCAACCCGGCUACAUGAAGCUGGAAUCGCUAGUAAUCGCAGAUCAGAAUGCUGCGGUGAAUACGUUCCCGGGUCUUGUACACACCGCCCGCCACACCAUGGGAGUCGGAAAUGCCCGAAGUCGGUGACCCAACCGUUUACGGAGGGAGCUGCCGAAGGCAGGUCUGGUGACUGGGGUGAAGUCGUAACAAGGUAGC
rnacentral:rRNA from 1 species